GAGACAGCAGCAGCCGCGGUAAUACGGAGGGUGCAAGCGUUAUCCGGAUUUAUUGGGUUUAAAGGGUCCGUAGGCGGACUUAUAAGUCAGUGGUGAAAGCCUGUCGCUUAACGAUAGAACUGCCAUUGAUACUGUAAGUCUUGAGUAUAUUUGAGGUAGCUGGAAUAAGUAGUGUAGCGGUGAAAUGCAUAGAUAUUACUUAGAACACCAAUUGCGAAGGCAGGUUACCAAGAUAUAACUGACGCUGAGGGACGAAAGCGUGGGUAGCGAACAGGAUUAGAUACCCCGGUAGUCCCUGUCUCUUAUAC
rnacentral:rRNA from 1 species